rnacentral:rRNA from 1 species
UACGAAGGGGGCUAGCGUUGUUCGGAAUUACUGGGCGUAAAGCGCACGUAGGUGGGUUGUUAAGUCAGGGGUGAAAUCCUGGAGCUCAACUCCAGAACUGCCUUUGAUGCUGGCAACCUAGAGACUGGAAGAGGUUAGUGGAAUUCCCAGUGUAGAGGUGAAAUUCGUAGAUAUUGGGAAGAACACCAGUGGCGAAGGCGGCUAACUGGUCCAGUACUGACGCUGAGGUGCGAAAGCGUGGGGAGCAAACAGG